UUUUGUUUCUAGAGCCAAUUGUUCAGAUGCACUGCAAAGGAAACGCAAUUCAUAAGAUAUGCAGUAAUUUCCAUAAUGAAAUAUAAGAAUUAUAAAAAUUAUAUAUUAAUUUUGCCACUUUCCCUGAUAAGCUGCACUAGGUAUUCACAAAUGGAUCCAAGAUAAAGAUCAUUUUUCUGAAACUUUUUUUAGUGAGAUGGUUUUCCAACAAAUAGCAUUUACAAGUAAAGUGAUUAUGUUUUUAACUCAUUUCCCUUCUUUACUAUUUGGGUUGUGUGUGUGUGUGUGUUUUUUUUUUUUAAUGUGAGAGCUGAUUAUUGCUUAAGAAGUUUUCUUAUGGCAAAAUAAUGUAAAUAAUUUCUAUAAUCUACAUUUUUUCAGGAACUCAUUUACUAUUAAGGUUGUCAUUUUUUACUAAUAAUUUUUGUUUUUGUCCUUUAUAAUAUUAUAUUAAACUUGAUAACUAUUAUAGGUAAUCUUAAAAUAUUUGUAUGUGUUUGUUACCUUAAACAUUUGAAAAAAGCACAAAAAAGUAGAUUUAGUUAACCCAGAGAAACAUCAAUUUUUUAGUAGUAGCAAUUUUAUAUCACAGUUUUAUUUUCUUAUGAAGUAAAAAAAAAAAACACAUUGCUACUCAUUAAGACAAGUUCAUUAUUUAACAUAAAAAUCAGAAUAAUCUUUUGAAAUGAAAAAAUACUAUUUUUAUUUUAACAGUACACUUCUUAAGCUCUUAUUACCAGCUCUAAAGAACUUUUUGGAAUAAUUAUGCAUUCCCUAAUGUGUGUUUUACAAACUGUGUAUCAUUACUAACCCAGUAGUCAUGACAGAAGUCUCUUUUCUUUGCAUCCCUUCUCCUCCUCCUUUUGUCCCCGCCACCCCGUAAUAGGUCACUAACAGGUUGUGUUUAUAGUGACCUUUGGAAACAUCGUCAAUAAAAAAAGACAAAAAAUGUUUUUAGUUGCUCAGAAAUUGAAAGUUAGAGAACUUGGAUUUAUUUAACUCAGUGCUGCCAGAAAAUAAUGCUAUAAAUUAAAGGACUUUGAAACUCCUGAAUGAAAGGUGCUGUUUAAAUGUAAAUACAAAGGAUUGUUUACUGAAACACAGUACACAGACUAAAAAUCUAUUCUCUAGACUUUGAAAUCUUCUUCAUCAUGACUCCUUAGAUUCAAAUAUCAAAUUGGUAAAUGAGUAUCUUGGCAGUCUAGAGUCAGUUGCAUGUAAAAAAAAAAUGUAAAUUCACUGUUGGUUGAGAAGUUGAAAAUAAGUGUAGAAUUAUGUUUUAGCUUAAUAUAGUAAGUGGGUAAGUUAGAUUUAUAUUAACUAGCAUCUAAUUUGCACAAUUAGCACACAUCCCAGGACAAUGAGUGUGAGGUGACCUAAUGAGGGCGAGUAGUAAAGCAAUUGGACCUCCCUCUGAUAUCAUAAUCUUGUAACAGGGUCUGCUGAGUUAACCAGCACCUACCACUUCAGCUGAAAAUACCUGAAAUGUAUAGCAUUGGAGUAGGCCGACCCUGAGGGGAAAAAAAGAGAAAACCAAGGGAAUACAAUGAGACUACUAAAUUAUUCUCAAUUAUAUUAAUUGCCUUCCUCAUAGCUCUUCAAGAAAGGACUACGUGAUUUUUUUUUUCCACAAUCUACUUCAGAAGCAGACUUUGUAGGAAGCUAAGCCAAAUGGAAAUGAAUCCAAACCAUUUUUCUAACCAAGCCUAAACCUACCUAUCUGGUUUUAUUCCUAAACCUCUAUGAACACUUUAAAAAUCAGAACAACAGCAUCAGCCCAGAGCUCUAAUAGCAUGCCUCCUAGCUGGCCAUGGAAAUGUUUAGUUCAUGUGUGGCACCUUUCAUGCAAGGCAUGUUAAAAGCCUAUUUAAAAAUCACUGUGUGUAUUAUAGAGUUGUAACCACCUCACAAAUGGAUAACUACAGCCUGAAUUGUCUUAUAACAGUUUAUGUCAGGAUGUAAAAUCAAUACUGUACCAAAUCUGGAAUUGUGAUGGGGAAUUAUGUAUCCUAAAUUACUUUUGUACUUUAAGCUACUUUUUAUGAAAAGUGAAUUGUCUUUCUUUUCAGCUAUUCAUCCUGAGAUGUAUUUUUUUUCUUGAAUAUGAAUAGUACAAAAAGAGCCCAUUUUAUAAUAUAAACCUUGAUGUACAGGUUAAACUAUUUGGACAAGGAAAAUACCUUAAAAGGAAUGCUUAAUGGGUAAUAUUGCACUUAUAACACUCUUUGACAAAACCUGAUUUUAAAAUGUCUUUUUUUAUUUCUACGAGUUUUUCAGUGUUUGCCAUUGUACCCACAACUGUUAAAAUACCAAAUCAAAUAAUAUAAAAAGCUGUAACAUUUCCUUUAAAAUUAAUGCUAAUAAGGUGGUAGAAUUGAAUGGCAAAACGACCUUCCUCUGUGGUGCCUGAUGUCCAUCACAGGAGUCCCAUGCACGACAAGAAACCAUUGUUUGAGUUGUCUUACAGUCACUUUGUUUUUCUUUCAUUCUCCUUAAAAAUAUAUAUGUUGGACUAACUGAUAUAAAAAGAAAUAAAAACAAAAGGUAAUUUUUUAACAAAUUGUUAUAGUCAUUUUAAAAUUGUAUGUUGGCCAAUUGUUACUUUUUGCCCUAGAGAACUAUUCUUGGGCUUCAUAGACUUCAUCCUAAUCAUUUUGGUUAUUAAGAUGUUUGGGUAGACUCAGUUCUGUCAGUCCUGAAAUAAGUUUAAGUAUGUUUACCAAGAGAAAGCUUAAAUUAUAAAAUAGGUAUAGUGAGAAUAACAACGGUAGCUCAUAAUAAAAUAGAACCAUAAACAGUAGUUUGUUGUCCUCCCCCACCCCCUUGGAGUUUUGGGGGGUGUUAGGAAAGUGCUAACCUUUCACUCGGGACUUUAAGCAUGGUAAGCUGGCACUUUACCACUCAGCUGUAGUCCCAGCCCCUAUCUCAGAACUUCUUCUUGUGCUCUAUGAACUCUUCUUUUUGAUAUGAAAUAAAAUAACUAGGUGAUGAACUGAGUGCAGUGAUACAGGAAAUACAUUGAGCCAGUUGAUAGACGUUGUCUGAACACCAGUGCUGUGGCACCACAUUCACUGCCACAGUUGAGUAAGUGACCAACUGGUAGGUAGAAUAUAUGCUGUGUAUGUGCUAGACAGUCAUUCAAUGAUAACACCUCCUGCUACUUACAAUGGCAUAUUAUUUAAAACUUAUGGACUGUUUAAUUUUGGAAUUUUUCAUGUAAUAAUUUUGGUUCAUUUAACCACAGGUUACUGAAACUUCAGGAAUUAAAACUCCUAAGAAUGUGGUAGGCUGAGAAAUGAUUCUUUGUGGGACUGGAGUGUUGGUUCUUUCAGAGCAGCCAGGUUCCAUUUCCAGCACUGUCCAUGCUGCAGCUCAUGUCUAUCUGUAACCUCCAGCUCCAGGGGAGCCGGUGCCUUCUCCCUGCCUCCACAGGCAGUAGCCGCAAGUUACAGAUCUGCAGGCAGAACCCACAAAAUAAAAACAAACUUCAAAAAAUGU
rnacentral:lncRNA from 1 species